UACGUAGGGGGCUAGCGUUGUCCGGAAUCAUUGGGCGUAAAGAGCGCGUAGGCGGCUCGGUAAGUCCGCUGUGAAAGUCCAGGGCUCAACCCUGGAAUGCCAGUGGAAACUGUCGGGCUAGAGUACGGAAGAGGCGAGUGGAAUUCCUGGUGUAGCGGUGGAAUGCGCAGAUAUCAGGAGGAACACCAAUAGCGAAGGCAGCUCGCUGGGACGUUACUGACGCUGAGGCGCGAAAGCGUGGGGAGCAAACAGG
rnacentral:rRNA from 1 species